rnacentral:lncRNA from 1 species
UUAGAUUCGACAGCAGUUAGCAUGUUAACAACUCUAUAUAAAACCUCGUUUGCUGCAUAAUUAUCUCCCUCAAAGAAUCCACAACAGCAACAGCUGCUAAGACCAACAACAGUUUGAUCAGAAAAAUGGCCUACCCUUCUUCUCAAAAUUCUCAACCUGCUCUACCUCUGCACCUAUGUUUCUUCUUGUUUACCUUGUUCAUGUUCCUCGGUUUCUCAUGGUACUCAAGCUACGAGCCAAUAAUGGAGAGCUUCAUGGACCAAGUGAAGUUGGUGCUGAUGGUUUCUCCACUGCUGCUUCUGCUAGUCGUGCACUUCAUUUCCAACUAUGGAGGAGGUGGAGGGGUCUUGUCUUCACUGGUUCCUUUGCCAGAGAGAGAGUCACUGCACAGAGCAGGUGGAACUCCCUGGGGUGUUGGCUUCCUUCUUGUUCUUCUUCUCUUCAUGGUUUCUUACCAGUCUUCUUUCCAAGAACGCUGGUUUCCUCUCCUCACCAGGUGAAAACAGUCAGCUUCUUUGCUGCAUCUUCAUCAUCAUCAUCACAUAUGGACUUUCUCUGUAAUUACUGUAAUUUAGUUUCUUCUUAGUGUUUUUAAUGAAACGAGAGAUUUCACCUUUUUUGUAUUCAUUUUCUGUUUCUGUUUAAAAGGGUCAUCUGUUCUUGCAGGGAAGCUGUUUAUCAGUUUCAGUUUUUAGAAAUAGAUACUUUCUGUAUAAUUAAUCACUGAUUUGAGUACCCUCUUAAAUAUUAUGGUAUUUGUUUACCUUAUAUAAUUAUAGUAGUUUCUGGCCAAAGAAUUCAUGGUGGUGUUUGAAUGAGUUUCAUGAUCUACUUAUUAGAGAAUAAAGGGAAAAAGAAAGAGAAAGAAUGGGAAAGUGGUUUUAUAUGUUAUAGAGAAAGUAAAAAAGAUGUGUCAGCCCCACAUGCUUAGGUAAACAGAUUGCAAAAAUAGUUCUGUUCAUGUUAAAAUGGUGGAAAAUUAAGAUAAACUAGAUCACAUUCAAUACUUACUAUAUGUAUACCCACACCAUACAGUAUCUAAUCAAAGGAGAUCUAAGUAAUGUAAAAUUAUUAUAUGUAUUCAUUAAUUAAUAAUUUUAUGUCUAAAGUUCACGUGGGUGUCUCAAUAUUCUUACUAAUUUUAAAAAGUUUAAAAUAUACUUUGAUAUGUGUGGCUUUUACUUUUUGAAAUAACAUAUAAAACACAAUAUUGCUGUGAAUGGGAGAAAAGACUUAUGCAGGACCAUAUGACUUUUUUUGUGAGGGACAUUUGUACACCACUUUCAGAAGGAGAAGAUCAACUUCUCUACAAUUACCUCUUCAGGUUAAUUAAUUGUCAACUUUAAGAGAUGUAUGUAGGAAAUCCAUUAACCCAGGUAUUUGUUAUAUAUAAUAAUGAAUCCUACAUUUCAUAAUACUGUAAUGGGCAGUGAGAGUAUGUAUGUAUUCAUUUCUCAUAAAAUAAAAUAAUUUAUUAAUAUGAUAGAUUCACAUCAUAAUAAGUACACGAUUUCUAUAUUUUCAACUAAUAUAAGUAAAAAUAUAAAUCGAAAUACUGGUAAAUAUAAGUACUCUGAGGAAUAAUAGCAAUGUAUUUCAAUAUCAUUAUCAUAUUCGGUUACAUAGGAUUACUAAAUGGUGGUCCUUUACAUUCCAUAUUUAUAGCAAGAGGUAUGUUAUCUGAAUUUUCCCCUAAAAUAAUUGGCAGUUAAAUAAAGUGAGAAAAAUUAUGGCAGUAACUUUUCAUGUUUCUUUAACCAUAACUCAAUAGAAUAUAAGAAAGAAAUUGACAGUCAACCACAAUACCACUUAUUGUGUCAAAGCUAGUAUCCAGGAAACUAGCUUGUUUUGAGCGAAGUCAAGAAAUUUAUCCGAAACCUCUACUUCUGUCAAUGUUCUAUCCUUGGUAAUUUCUGUUUCUAACCAAUCCCAGAANNGAGCAAGGGCAGCAGCAUCCCUAGAAAUGAAAAGAUAGCAUAAUUAUAUGUACUUACGGACAUGUGUGUAUGCCUCCUUUUGUUUGACAAGUACACUAAUUUAAUUAAACAUUUUUAUCAAACAUCUAUGAAUAUCUAACUUGAUGAAGAAUGAAUUAUGCAGCCACCACCAAUAUGCAGAUCAUUAAAGCACAGAAAUUGAAACAUGCAUAAACCAUCAACAAUAAUCCUGACAAAGGCAAAAUAGGGUUACCUUAAAUGGAAAUUUUGCAUCCCUUCUAACUCUGAUUCAUGUUUUAUGGCCUUUGAAAUAGAAACAGGAGAGACUUUAUGGACAGCAAAGGGUACAUCUGAGCUCUCAAUAGACCCAUCAAAACCAUUUAUCCUGGUUUUGUGUUUAUUCUCCCGAAUCCGAUAAUAUCUGUCACAGGCAGCUCCAUAGGCAUUUACAAUAGCAGCAUUAACAAAUAAAGUAUCCAACCAAAGAGCAACACUUUGUGCUGCCAAUCUUAAAAAGAAAAUCAAGCUCAAUUCCCAAAGCCAUGAUGCUUUUAAAAAGUAGUAAGCAUAAUUAAUUGACAAAAUCAAAGAUAAAAUCACAUUAGUCUGUCUCCAACAAUAUUCUUGAACAUUUCAAGCAAAACAGUGGGAAAAUGGGGGGCAUAAAAAUAAGGAUUUUCCAUAAUCACCUUUCAAUUUCAGAUAUAAUUGAAUNGUAUGUCNUGAUNUGUAUAUCAGCUUUCUUNAAGUGAUNCCUCACCUCUUCAGUAACUUUGGAAUCAUCUACAAAUAAUUUUGCUCCAUCAAUCUCCACAAUCAAGUAUGCAUACACAACUGGUGAAUGUGGAAUAUCAUUGCCUCUCUUCAAAAGAAAAAGUCAAAAUGUUACUCUCACUGAAUGAAACAUUAGCAAAGAACAUAAAUUACUUAUGUUAGAUUUAGAUCCAAGCAACUUUAAUAAAAUCUUGAAGGUGUAUAGGGAUAUGUAACAGUAUAAACCAAAUCAUCAUUAUAUCAAGAAAAAGAAAGUGUAAAUAAUUAAAGAUACAUUACCAAGUUCAACAACCAUGCAAUUUCAUCAAGCAUGGAGAUGACAAUUACAGAAGAGACAGCAUUGACAAGUUCUGAUCUCAAAGAUGACAAUUUUGACGCAACAUCUAAACCAAGCAAUACAACAGAUUCAGGAAACCAAGUACAAAAUUCCCCAGUGGAGUGAAGGUAACAAAUCAUAAUAUGUUGUGAUAGCACCGACAAGUGUAACAAAUCAAAAACUCUAACUUAACAUAAUAGAGUAACUAGCAUGAACCAAGGAGCUUUAACACUGUCAUCUAGUAACAAACUGUGAUACAUGAAAGGUGUAUCGAUUUUUGGAAAAACUAUGUUAAAAACCAUAACAACUAACUAUAAUUUUUAAUUGAUUCCAAGAAAUUUUGAUUACACACCAUAAACCAAAAAAAAAGAAUCAUGGUCGAUAAGACUUUAUAAUAUCACCCAGUCAAAUGAAACAUAAGAAACAUCCCUAAAAAUGAAAUGGUUCAUAAAAAGGGAAAAUAUUGAACAUGACAGAGCAAUGAUAUGGUGGCCAGUGAUAUGGGAAAAUAUUGAACAUGACAGAGCAGUGACACAGCCAAACCUCCUUUAAGCGGUUAUGGGUGCUUUUCAGAAAGGGCAGUUAUAUGGUGGACAGUGAUAUGGUGGACAGAAAGGGCAGUGAUAUGGUGAGCCAAACCUUCAAUGCCGGUCUUCCUCGAUGUAGAAACCCGAUUUCGUUGGCCUGCAAGAGUAGACAAUGGUGGACCGACACUUACAGAGUUCCUAAACGGAGAUAGAAGAUACCUUUCGAUUAACAAGGGCAUACAAAAUACCCACCAAGCCACAACGGCGACAGCCAAAAAACCUCUCCUUUGGAUUAAAGAUCACAAUGCUUGCCCCUAUCGAAACUUCCUCCAAACACGCGGACGGAGAUGAAAGCCUUCAAUGAGGAAGAACAAAGCGUUCAAUGUCACCCUUCGAAACUUCAAUGCCGAACGGAGAUGACGAAACACCUCUUCGGUCCCGUGAGUGCAGAGUCGUGGAGAGAGAGCUUAGGUCAAGAGAGAGAGAUAACUUUAGUGCAUCAGAAGGGAAAAUGCUUUCGUAGGCGCCAAACCAAAUGAAUUUCAGAAACCGCAUUCCCAAAUUGCCCUUCCCCUCACCUGUUUUUUUUUUUUAAAAUUCAAUCAGAACAGCCAAUGAUACUUUGACACCUGUCGUUGUCAAAUUGUUGUAAAAAAUCUGGUGUCAAAGUAUCAUUUUCCAUUAUAAAAUAAACCCCCUAGCACGUUGACCAGCUAAAUUGUCAUCAUCAUCUGUUCACUCUGUUCACUCAUCAUCAUCUGUUCACUCAUCAUCAUCUGUUCACCAUGGAUCCACCACCGAAUGCUGGCGGAACAACGCCUUUGCAGCAAGCAAAGCGUAGACGCCAUGACGCCAGACGAGCGCUGGCAUUAGCUCAAUUUGAUUAUGCGAAGGAGCUCGUGAGAGACGACCGCCUUCAAGAUGCGGCAAAAGAGGCUAAGAAAGCGAAGGUAAUUCUCAAGGAAACCGACAAGGAAGAUGCUAUCGAAUAGCUUCGGAGGAUGACGGUGUAAGAUUUUUUGUUCUUCUAAGUUCUUUUUUGCGAGUCCAAGAACCGUUCUUUUGUUGCAGGAACCUAAUUCUUUUGUAUACCAAAAUCGUUCGUUCUUAUGUGAGACUUUCUUUUGUUCUUGAGACUUUCUUUUUCAAGUUUUUGGUGCAUGUUAAUGAACCAACACCAGUAUGAUCAUCUUUGACUUAAGGCUUGAUGAAGUUUGCUGUUAUUGAUUCACUUGUUCUGAUGAGAUCAUUUCCUGAUCACAUGUCUUUAUAAAAAUGCCACUCCCUCACACUCCAGAUAUAUAAUUUAAGUAUAUAUAAUAUUAUCAAAACAUAUCUUUAAAUCUGAACAACUUAACCUUUUUGUAAAAGGGGUACGAAAGAAGCCAAAUCUGCAUAUGAAUAUGAAAGAAGCCAAAAGAAUCAAGCUUCACCUAUCUUCAAUUUUAUGAGUUGAAUUUUCUAUAAUCAAUUAUCUUCCAAUAAAAGCAGUGGAAUUCAUAUAUGCAUCUACGUGUAUGUUAAAUAAAAUCCAAAUAUGGUACAUGCACCUUAAUUUCUCUUUCUGCAUAACAAGUGGUUUAAAAUUGAAAAUGGGUUUCUUUCUUUUUCAUUCUUUUAAGCUUCUACAGGAAUUUGACUUUAUUCCACACAAACACCAUUUCUGCACCUUAAUUUCACCUUUUUUGUAUUCAUUUUCUGUUUCUGUUUAAAAGGGUCAUCUGUUCUUGCAGGGAAGCUGUUUAUCAGUUUCAGUUUUUAGAAAUAGAUACUUUCUGUAUAAUUAAUCACUGAUUUGAGUACCCUCUUAAAUAUUAUGGUAUUUGUUUACCUUAUAUAAUUACAGUAGUUUCUGGCCAAAGAAUUCAUGGUGGUGUUUGAAUGAGUUUCAUGGUCUACUUAUUAGAGAAUAAAGGGAAAAAGAAAGAGAAAGAAUGGGAAAGUGGUUUUUUUUAUAUGUUAUAAAGAAAGUAAAACAGAUGUGUCAGCCCCACAUGCUUUAGGUAAAAAGAUUGCAAAAAUAGUUCUGUUCAUGUUAAAAUGGUGGAAAAUUAAGAUAAACUAGAUCACAUUCAAUACUUACUAUAUAUUUUUUCCAAUUUUUAAUGAUUUUUUUUACUAGUAUUCAUUUU